AAAAUCCACUCAGUGAAUCGUUUUCGUUAAGCCCAACGUCAUGGUUAU
rnacentral:sRNA from 1 species